rnacentral:rRNA from 1 species
UACGUAGGGGGCUAGCGUUGUCCGGAAUCAUUGGGCGUAAAGCGCGUGUAGGCGGUCCGGUAAGUCCGCUGUGAAAGUCGGGGGCUCAACCCUCGAAUGCCGGUGGAUACUGUCGGGCUAGAGUUCGGGAGAGGGAUGCGGAAUUCCAGGUGUAGCGGUGAAAUGCGUAGAUAUCUGGAGGAACACCGGUGGCGAAGGCGGCAUCCUGGACCGACACUGACGCUGAGGAGCGAAAGCCAGGGGAGCAAACGGG